UAAAUUGAAUGCAGAAUCAUUGUACUAAUCUUGGACACGCUUUGGGCACAAAUCUCCAAUUUGUACAAGAUUGCAUUUUGUUUGAGUGUGAAUCAUUUGUGAUUAUGUACUUUUGUUUAAUUGGGUAAUUAUUUGUUUUAUCUUAGCCACCCUGAAAUAUGAACAUGAAUUAUUUUAUAAUUUACUAGCUAGAAUCAGAUCGAACUGCAAAUAAAGUUAACUGAUGAACUAUCAAGAACCAUAUCUUGUCAAUUUGGUUUAGGCUCUCUAUGGAUCAUGGUAUAGGUAUUUAUAUUAGUUUUUGAAGAGAAAACUAUAUAUGUUAUUCUAAGUAAUGACCUACAUAUAUAGCAUAAAGCAAUAUAAGAUUCUGUAUAGUUAUAGAGUUGUCCCUUGACUACUUUUUUUUUUUCAAGAGAAAUAUAGUUAUUUUCCUCUUCUUGCUAUAUAGUUGUAAAACUUAUAUUAUCUCAUUUAUCAUAUAUAUAUAUAGCAAAAAAAUAUAGUUGAAAAUGAUCAACGAGAAAGAUACACAUAAUGAUAGUGUUAUAUUAUGCUUCAGUAAAUGAGAAUUAUAUACCUUGUUUGUGCCUAUUUUGGUUAAUUGUUUUGUCCUUGUCUUUGUUCUGCCCUUUGCUUUUCUGUUGUUUCUUUUAGAGAUACUCACUGGAACAGUAAAAUUGAGAAUGCAAGGACCAUGUAGUAUUAACUGUCAUUAAUCAAGAAGAUAGACAUACAUAUAUAUAAAGAUGCAAACAGCCGAAAGAAAGUGCUUUAUUUUCAAAUAUAAGUUGGCCACUUCUCUGCUGCGGCUGCCAGUUUUUGGGGUGCAGUAUAAUUAGUAUAUGCAUCUUCAGCUUCUUUUUCCUUCUAAGUUGACUUCUCAGGAAAAUGAAAUGGAUAUUCAAAGUAAAGCCAUGAAGAACCUUUUGCACUUGUUCUUUGAUCAAAAAGCUUGGCCCAACCAGACCCCAGCAUAAUAUAUAAAAAAGGUGUGUCAAAGACAUGAUGCAGCACUAAAUGAGAACAAUAAUUCACUGUUUAUAUUUCUCCUAUUGUGUUUGCUUCAAAAAGAGUGGAAAUUUUUUAAGAAGAGUUCAAUCUCUCCUAGGCUAGGAUAUAAUUUAAGAAUAUUAUUUUUCACCACUUAUAUAUAGUUUCGAAUUAUUUCUCUAUAGGCUCUGCUAGCUUCCAAUUCAAUACAUACACUCUCUUCCUUGUCUUGUUCCUUUCUCAAAUCAAUAAAAUGGAAAAAGUUCUCGUCUUGAGCUUUAGACACGCAGAACUCUCGCAUAAGAUAGAAGAGAACAUUUUGUUUGGUAAAGAGAUGGACAGGGAAAAGUAUGAGAGGGUUUUAGAAGCAUGUUCCUUGAAGAAGGACCUGGAAAUCCUUUCAUUUGGUGAUCAGACAGUCAUUGGGGAAAGAGGGAUUAAUUUGAGCAGUGGACAAAAGCAGAGAAUACAAAUUGCACGCGCCUUAUAUCAAGAUGCUGAUAUCUAUCUAUUUGAUGAUCCUUUCAGUGUUGUGGAUGCUCACACAGGUCUCAUCUCUUCAGGGAAUGCAUACUAGGCCUCUUGAGUUCAAAAACAAUUAUUUAUGUCACUCAUCAAAUUGAAUUCUUACCCACAACUGAUCUUAUACUAGUAAGUGAGUUGUAUGCAUU